AGGGCUGGGCAAACGGGUCCUGGACCCGCGGGUAGGGGCGGGUAAUACGGGUACGGGGCGGGUACGGGCCGGUUCUUAGUUUUGUAAAAGUAGAUCGGGGCGGGGCGGGCCGGGUAAUUGAAGUUUUAGGGGUGGGCCGGUUCCAAAAUUAUAGGAUCCGCGGGUACCCGGACCGGCCCGUUUGUGUUAGAUUGGACGGACGAGAUUUAAUAUCAUCUCUCCAUCCAAUCUCAACCGUCAGUUCAAGUUUUCAACUUUCAACCCUAGCCAACCUUCCCCGAGUCCCGAGUUCCAGAAGCAUCCUCAGCCUCAGCAGCCUCAGACCUCAGUCUCUCGGAUUCUCAGACUCUCCCUCGACUCCAUCUCCCUGAGUCCCUCUCCCUAUCCCUCUCCCUCGAAUCCCUCUCCCUAUCCCUCUCCGUUGAUUUUUCUUUUUAAAAUUUAGCUAAUUUUUGUGUUUUGAUUUGAUUCAGGGAGGAAAGCGAGCUUCUUUGUUGUCAGAUCUGACGCCGGGGUUAGCUCGGGUUUGAAUUCGAAGGCUCGCCGGGCUGAUCAACUGAUUACCAAUGUUGUUGCAACCAAAGCUGAUGGCGCUGCAGCUUCGACCGCAUCGAAACCUGGGCAAUCGUGAAAAUUUAAAUUUUUUACAUCAAGGCUUUGCAUGCCAUGUAGUGAACUGUAAUUGCAAGAUUCAGAAUGAAACCAUGAAUUUGUAAAUUUAGAAUUCACGAUAUUGUUUAGUUUGUUUAGCUUUUAAUUUCCUUAAUUAGAUGAAAAAGAUGGGUAGAUACACAUCAUACUGGAUGUUUCUUGUCCGUUGAUAUCCUUUGAAUUGGAAUGUAUUGAAUUUUUUUUUUUUAAAAAAAA